ACACAUGCAAGUCGAACGAGAGAGAGGGAGCUUGCUUCCUCAAUCGAGUGGCGAACGGGUGAGUAACGCGUGAGGAACCUGCCUCAAAGAGGGGGACAACAGUUGGAAACGACUGCUAAUACCGCAUAAGCCCACGGCUCGGCAUCGAGCAGAGGGAAAAGGAGCAAUCCGCUUUGAGAUGGCCUCGCGUCCGAUUAGCUAGUUGGUGAGGUAACGGCCCACCAAGGCGACGAUCGGUAGCCGGACUGAGAGGUUGAACGGCCACAUUGGGACUGAGACACGGCCCAGACUCCUACGGGAGGCAGCAGUGGGGAAUAUUGCACAAUGGGGGAAACCCUGAUGCAGCGACGCCGCGUGGAGGAAGAAGGUCUUCGGAUUGUAAACUCCUGUUGUUGAGGAAGAUAAUGACGGUACUCAACAAGGAAGUGACGGCUAACUACGUGCCAGCAGCCGCGGUAAAACGUAGGUCACAAGCGUUGUCCGGAAUUACUGGGUGUAAAGGGAGCGCAGGCGGGAAGACAAGUUGGAAGUGAAAUCUAUGGGCUCAACCCGUAAACUGCUUUCAAAACUGUUUUUCUUGAGUAGUGCAGAGGUAGGCGGAAUUCCCGGUGUAGCGGUGGAAUGCGUAGAUAUCGGGAGGAACACCAGUGGCGAAGGCGGCCUACUGGGCACCAACUGACGCUGAGGCUCGAAAGUGUGGGUAGCAAACAGGAUUAGAUACCCUGGUAGUCCACACCGUAAACGAUGAUUACUAGGUGUUGGAGGAUUGACCCCUUCAGUGCCGCAGUUAACACAAUAAG
rnacentral:rRNA from 1 species